UGUGUACUGGUGGGGUCCCUCAGCCUGGCCUGCACCCAUCCGUAAUCCUGGACCCCUCGGGGGAAUUCAGAGAGCCAGUUUCAGCCUGAUCCUGCAGGCCAGGCUGAGGGACCCCACUGGUGCAUG
rnacentral:pre_miRNA from 1 species